AUAUCUCUCUGUACGGGAAGGAUGAGAAGUUUCGACUAAGGUUCGAUUCGAGCGAAAGCGAGAAAGCGUUGCCAACGGCAACGACCCGAAGGGCGAAGCGCGAAGCGCGCAGCGCUGAGUCAUCCUUCCCCCACCACCA
rnacentral:sRNA from 1 species